GACAAACCAUUCAAGUUUCUGCCCCAUCAGCUUUCGAUGGUAGUGUAUUGGACUACCAUGGCUUUUACGGGUAACGGAGGAUUAGGGUUCGAUUCCGGAGAGGGAGCCUGAGAAACGGCUACCACAUCUAAGGAAGGCAGCAGGCGCGUAAAUUACCCAAUCCUAAUUCAGGGAGGUAGUGACAAGAAAUAACGGGUCGGGGCUAUGCCCCGGGACUGCAAUGAGAUGAAUUUACACCCCUUUUCGAGUAACAAUUGGAGGGCAAGUCUGGUGCCAGCAGCCGCGGUAAUUCCAGCUCCAAUAGCGUAUAUUAAAGUUGUUGCAGUUAAAAAGCUCGUAGUUGGAUUUCUGGUUGGCUAGUUUCUGCCUCCUUGUGGAUGCGCAGUGGUAGCCUACCAUCCUUCUGUUAACCCAGCAGCUCUUCACGGGGCUACUGCGGGGCUCAGAUAUUUUACCUUGAGAAAAUUAGAGUGUUUCAGGCAGGCUAGCGCCGGAAUACAUUAGCA
rnacentral:rRNA from 1 species